AGUGAACGCUGGCGGUAGGCCUAACACAUGCAAGUCGAACGGCAGCACAGGAGAGCUCGCUCUCUAGGUGGCGAGUGGCGGACGGGUGAGGAAUACAUCGGAAUCUGCCCAGUCGUGGGGGAUAACGUAGGGAAACUUACGCUAAUACCGCAUACGACCUUCGGGUGAAAGAGGGGGAUCGCAAGACCUCUCGCGAUUGGAUGAGCCGAUGUCGGAUUAGCUAGUUAGCGGGGUAAUGGCCCACCAAGGCGACGAUCCGUAGCUGGUCUGAGAGGAUGAUCAGCCACACUGGAACUGAGACACGGUCCAGACUCCUACGGGAGGCAGCAGUGGGGAAUAUUGGACAAUGGGCGCAAGCCUGAUCCAGCCAUACCGCGUGGGUGAAGAAGGCCUUCGGGUUGUAAAGCCCUUUUGUUGGGAAAGAAAUCUUUCAGGCUAAUACCCUGGGAGGAUGACGGUACCCAAAGAAUAAGCACCGGCUAACUUCGUG
rnacentral:rRNA from 1 species